rnacentral:lncRNA from 1 species
ACAUCCAGAUCCUAAUCCUUGUUAGUGUGACCCAGUUAGGUUCAAUUCUGUAUGGUAAUGAGACAUAUUGUGAUCUCAUCAUCGACAUCAUUGAAACUCCUUUCGAUGGAUCAGAACUCUUCUGAUUCAUAUAAUUAGAAUGAUCGAUCAUCAAGAUCAUUCUAAUUGCUCUCAAAAUCCACCAGUGACACCUAGCAGUAUAUGGUGGCAACCCA